GGGAUCUACAGAGAGACUGCAAUGCUAGCACUCAACACCAUCUGUCUCGGUUUACUCGGGUCUAAGAGCUGUUGUGGGACAAAAAUCCAGUGACACUGUUGGAUGAAAAUUCCUCAGUCAGAUUUAUUUAUACCAUAAGCAGGAUUUGACAGUUUACAAAACAGUUAACCAUGAGCAGGUAACUAAAAAUAACUCUACUAGGAGGCCGAUAAGAGAGAUUUUUAGGGACAGUAAAAGGUUGAACAAAAUCAAUACUGAAAAUGAUGUGAAGGUGUGGAUUUUUGCUUUACUGAAGGUCAUUCAGCAAAACCCCUUCAGUGAGUUUGCUCUGACAAAUUACCCACUGGGAAAGCAAAACAUCAUAACAACUAUCAGGCUAAUAAAGUCAAACUAUAUUACCCUAUAACAGAAAAAUGCCACCACAGACCAUUGCGCUUAACAGGAAGCCAGCUUUUUUUAUAUAGGUUUUAUUGACUUUAAUGGCUUUUAUUUGAAAGUGGUUAGACAGGAAAGUGGGUAAUGAGAAAGCGGGAAGACAAGGGGCAAAGGUCAUCUGGCUGCGAAUGGAACCUGUGGCGGCCGCAUCGAGAACUAAGGCCUCCAUGUUUGGGUUGUGCUUUACCCCUGAGUUAUCAAAAACUUUUAGAUCUCAAGUUUUACUCACUAGUCCAGCUCUGAUUGGCUGUUCAGUCCAACAUGACGCCUCUCAAUAAUCUAACAUUAGUAGACAUGAAAACAAAAAACUAAAUAAUUACCACAAAUAAACUGAGAGUUUACGCAAUAUUUUUAUGACUGAUUUUGAAUAAUGUGAUUAAUUUUUCUGAGCUAGAGCAGCAAUGGAAAUGAGCAUAAAAAAUUUUAAUCUGAUUAUUAAUAGAAGUGUCUGAAAUGUUAAUAAAUGCAGUCAUUUUUACAGCUUUGCUGAAGCUUUGUUUGUACACUACGGAACGAAAGCAAAGCACACUAAAAACAUGGGUUCAGUUUACUAAUAAUAGUAAUACCAUUUUAUACAUAAAUUGAAAAGAAAAGAAGCAUUUAAUACAUGAUUUAGUAUGACAGAGUGAAAAUGUGAUUGGGAAAAUAGUUCAUGGUUUUAAGCGCGGUUAAGAAAACCGAUUUAUGGACUGGCUUUUUCUUAAAAGAAGCCAGUCCAUAAAUCGGUUUUCUGUAAGAGGCAUUCUAGAUUUUUCACAAUGGUGCCACAUUGAAGCAUGGUAGUGGCAGUGUCAUAGUUUGGUAAUUUUUUCAGCAGGACCUGGAAAGUUGCUCAGAAUUUGAGAAAUGGAAUAAGAAGCUAAAUACAAAACUACUAAAAAAUAAUAAUCAACACUAAUUUCUCUUCAGUCCUGAUUUUU